UACGUAGGUGGCAAGCGUUGUCCGGAUUUACUGGGCGUAAAGAGCGCGCAGGCGGUCGUUCAAGUCGCGUGUGAAAGCCCCCGGCUCAACUGGGGAGGGUCACGCGAUACUGAUCGACUCGAAGGCAGGAGAGGGAAGUGGAAUUCCCGGUGUAGUGGUGAAAUGCUUAGAGAUGACAUAGAACACCUAUUGCGAAGGCAGCUUACUACGCAGAUAUUGACGCUCAUGCACGAAAGCGUGGGGAUCAAACAGG
rnacentral:rRNA from 1 species